AUACCAUGGUUUCUUUAUUCCU
rnacentral:siRNA from 1 species